UGGGACAUGUUCAGUUUUCUAGUGUCCAAUAUUACUAGUCAACUUUCAGCCUCUGUUAUGCUUUUGUAACCUCUCCCAUUCCCAGAAUUCCAAGAGGCAACUGACACUAAAGGUCAUAGUAUGAAGCAGUUCUAGAGAAUAAUAAUUCGAAAAGAGUUAGUUGACUAGCCAUAUGUCAUCCAUUAAAGGGAUAACUUUGCAAAAUAAAGCACCUUCUAUUUCCUGUCAUUUGUUUUAGCUACUGAUUAUGCAGUUUUGAAGCUGCUUUUCCAUUUUUCCAAAUGUCCUUUCCAGGGUUCUUAGGUGUUUGAUGUGGUCUUUCUGUUGACCUUUCAGUAUCCUAUCCACAACUGAGAUAAAAACCUAGCAGUGAUGCUUUUCUUUUCUGUAACAUGGAUUCUGCUUCCUGAACCUUUUAUAUGUAGAGACUAUCUGAUAUUCUAUAAUCUUCUAUUCUGGAGUUCCUUGCUGCAGUGUUUUAGUCUGUGCCCACACCUUUGUGAACUUUUGGGUUGUCUCAACUUGGUAAUUCAAGAUGUAGUAUUCAGAAGAGUCUUUUUAAAGUCCAGUUCACAGUCCUAUUGUUGCUCAGCAUUGUGGAUGGCUCUGUACUGCAGGAGAUCAAAACCCUGCUCAUAGGUCUUUCAGAAAUAUAUGGUAAAUGUUUCUCAUUCAGGCUUUUCCUACUUGCAGAAGAAAGCAGUGACUUGAUAGGCUCUGUUCUUUCCUCUUUUGGGAUCAGUGGUCAAGGUU
rnacentral:lncRNA from 1 species